UGCUUACAAAUUGGGAGAUUCUGUCUGCUCUUCGAGCUCCUCGCUCUUCGCUUUGCCCGGAAGCAUGAUAUACUAAUCCUGAGCACUAAAGAAGUUGAGAAAUAUAGUGCCAUCUCUCGUGGUUUACCUUCCCCAAUAUAUGUGUUAGUAUUGAAAGUUGUACAUAUGAGCAAACCGAGUUUUGUUGAGCUUUGCAUUAUGAUUUAUACCACCCACUUAAAUAUAAAAUGUGCAUGCAAUGCAAGACAUUUUUGUGUAUAUACGUUUUCUUGUCUGCCGGAUAGUUCAAAUCUUGGCUUUGCUGGAUAUCUAUAGUUGAUGUGUUGGAACAUUCUGAUCUCAAUAAUCUGUAGGAUCCACCGUAUAUUGUUUGUUGUAAAUUUGCUAGUUCUAUUCCUACUAAUGUGUGUACCGCAAGCAAAUCAAAUUUACAUAACUUUUCAUGUAGAUUUGCAAAGCUGGCUAAAUGCCUUUAUUUCAUUAUCAUUUAGUGUGUAAAUUUUGUUCAUGACCACUUUGGGACGUCUUCUCAAAUAGCUCUGCUCUAGAAAUAGCCUAUAACCCUUUCAUUUGCUUAGCUCCCGAGUAGAAUUUAUAGGUUUGACUGAAUUGUGGAGAGGAAUGGCGAUUCGUUGCUGGUGCAGAGUCAGGAGUGCUUGGAGAAGGUUGCCAAGACGGUCUCCUUCCUCGCGUAGCCUGAAGGCUCAUUCCUGUUGUUGCUCACAGGGGAAGUUCAAAAGGACCGCGCGCUGGAGCUCCUAAGCGUGCGCCCCUUCUACUUCGUUUACUUAUGUGGCGUGAAGACAUAAAGCAAACCUUUGGAGCCAUAGUUGUCUUUUUGUCAUCUAAAAUAAUAAUGGUAACAUAUAAAUACAAACAAAAAAAUAUUCUAGCUCAAAAAAUUGUAUGUGAAUAAUGAAUGGAUGCUAUGGAACUAUAUUUGUUAUGGAGCUAUGUAUGUAUGGAUGCUAUGGAACUAUAUGUAUA